rnacentral:misc_RNA from 1 species
UCAUAUAGAUAAUAAAUGCUAAAUAAAUUAUGAUGUUAUACAUAUACGAUGGUGAAAGUGUUAAUGAGAUUUUGCAAUCUUUUAACAGUUAUAAUAAGAAAAAUACGACAAAAUUAAUAUAUACUACGCGAUUGCAGAGUAAACGAAACUAGCUGUCAAUUCACUGACUCGCGGCUCGCGUGUUUGCUAAGCCAAACCAAAUACACUCGUUCAAUAUAACAUAAGCCCAUAAUGAAAUCAAGUAUAUAUCGCACAAUGUCUCGUUUUCUCAUGAAUGAAUUAAAGACAAGGAACUUUACUUUCUUAAUAAACAGCAGAAUGUGAUUAAAUAAUUUUGAAUAAUUAGAGGACAGUCAAUAUAAUGAUUAAAGAAAUAGUAAUAAACAAUCAAAAAGUGUCGAAUGUCUAGUCAAUGAAAAUCUCUGUUAAAUAAUGUGAAAAACAUUGUGACAUUAAUUUAGUGUGUCGAAGAAAUUGUCAAAAUUGAAAUAUUGCAAAUUGACUUUCUUACGGCAAACAGUGACUCGAUCGAGGAUCAAAGGCACCUAAGAAACUUGAAGGUUAUCGUUGUAUGAAGACACUUUAAAAUCUAUGAAAAAUAUGCUGCAUGAAAAUUCCGUUUGGAUGUCGAAAUUUGGAAAAAAUUACAACUACAAUUGUAUAAAAUAAUAAUAACAACAAAAUAUAAGAAAAAAAAUCUGCAAUUAUGAUUAUGAUCGCAAGAACUCAUAUAAGCGGACAAUCAUUAGCUCAAGAAAACUCAAGUAUACGAAAUGUCUAGAAGCUCAAGUACCAAUUUAUCCAAGUAGCUCAAUGAAACUUAUUUUCCGAGAUGUAUUUUCGCCUAAUUUUCUUAUUUUGGAUUUUAUUGAUAAGUGAAUCACACAAACACUAUAAAUAAAUCAUCUUGAUGUUACAAAUUAAGAACUUCGCGAUCUACAACAUCGCCUAGGCGAAAUCAUAACCUGACUUUCGUAAAUGGAUCGAUUGCACAUCAACCAUAAGGAAGAAGCCGAGAGAAAAAUCGUCGAAAGACGAUCGCUAGUUGAAACGUGAGAAAAACUUCAGUUCCUCAAGAUGGGUUUUAACGAGACGGAUCUGAACAACACUGUGAAUCUACCGAGCACUUUUCUUCUCGACACUGGUCAGCGAAACAUCAGCAAAAACCAUCACGAUAUCGAAUAUGUUCUCUUGUUAACUUUGAAAGCUUUCAUUAUGAUAUUCAUCAUCCUUUGUGCUCUCCUCGGCAAUUUAUUGGUCAUUGUCUCUGUCAUGAGACACCGCAAACUCCGGGUAAUUACCAAUUACUUUGUGGUUUCGCUGGCCUUGGCGGACAUGUUAGUGGCGUUGUUCGCCAUGACGUUCAACGCUUCCGUGGAACUUUUUGGACGCUGGUUAUUCGGAUAUUUCAUGUGCGAUGUGUGGAAUUCGUUGGACGUUUUCUUCAGCACCGUCAGCAUCCUUCACCUUUGCUGCAUCAGCGUCGAUAGAUAUUACGCGAUCGUCCAACCACUGGACUAUCCGUUAAUCAUGACAAACGUGAGAUUGGGAACCAUGUUGAGCGUUGUAUGGUGUUUCCCGACUGUUAUGAGCUUCCUACCGAUCUUCGCAGGAUGGUAUACCACGAACGAGCAUCUCGAGUACAGAAGAAACUAUCCGGAUAUAUGUGUGUUUCAAGUCAACAAGUUCUAUGCUGUCGUCAGUUCCUGUGUGAGCUUCUGGGUACCAGGGAUAAUCAUGAUCGCGAUGUACUACAAGAUUUAUCGCGAGGCCGAUCGUCAGGAGCGCAUGUUGUAUCGGAGCAAGGUAGCGGCCGCUCUGCUAAAUAAACAUCUGCAGAUCAAUGGGAUCUCGGCCGGUUUGACAUCUCUGCCGACCGUGGACCAAUCGUCGCCAGAGCCACAACAAGUGGCAGAAGAGCCGCCAAUAACAAGUAGCAGUAAAAUGAAAAGAGAGAGGAAGGCAGCUAGAACGCUCGGCAUCAUCAUGUCAGCGUUUCUAGCUUGUUGGUUACCUUUCUUCCUAUGGUAUAUCAUCACUGCUCUAUGCGACUCGUGCGAGAGCGGCGAAGUGGUGGUAGCGGUGGUGUUCUGGGUAGGCUAUUUCAACAGCGCUUUGAAUCCGUUGAUCUACGCUUAUUUCAAUCGCGAGUUUCGCGCAGCCUUUCGUAAAACCCUCGAAAGCUGUUGUCGUGCGAUCGGACCGGUGCGCGAUCUGCGCCAAGUGCAUCGCAAACAGGACCUCGUGCACAGCAACGCCUCGUCCGAGUUGCAUGUCAACAAUCAGUUGCGCAAUAGCGAGAUGACCAACGUCCAUAUUGAGGCGUGUAUUUAAAUGAAUCACGCGAUCCGGUGAGGUGAAAGUAACGGCGAAAUCUUCGGAGCGCCUUCUGAAUAGAAUAAAAUAGAAAGCUUGUCAAGAUUUCAUGGGUAGUCAAACUGCAACGUCUGUUUAGCAUCUGGGACAAUAGCAUCCUUUCACUAUUGUUGUAGGAUGCAUGCGACUGUGCUGCAUCGAAAGCUACAUAUAAUAUUUGUGAGCGCA